GAUCCUGGCUCAGAUUGAACGCUGGCGGCAUGCCUUACACAUGCAAGUCGAACGGCAGCACGGGAGCAAUCCUGGUGGCGAGUGGCGAACGGGUGAGUAAUACAUCGGAACGUGUCCUGUAGUGGGGGAUAGCCCGGCGAAAGCCGGAUUAAUACCGCAUACGAUCUACGGAAGAAAGCGGGGGAUCCUUCGGGACCUCGCGCUAUAGGGGCGGCCGAUGGCAGAUUAGCUAGUUGGUGGGGUAAAGGCCUACCAAGGCGACGAUCUGUAGCUGGUCUGAGAGGACGACCAGCCACACUGGGACUGAGACACGGCCCAGACUCCUACGGGAGGCAGCAGUGGGGAAUUUUGGACAAUGGGGGAAACCCUGAUCCAGCAAUGCCGCGUGUGUGAAGAAGGCCUUCGGGUUGUAAAGCACUUUUGUCCGGAAAGAAAACCUUUGGGCUAAUACCUUGAGGGGAUGACGGUACCGGAAGAAUAAGCAC
rnacentral:rRNA from 1 species